UGGAUCAGAAUCGCCGCUCCCCGUCUGAUCCGUGGAUCAGAAAGUUCGCUUUCCGUCUCGUGGGCACUGAGACGAAUUGAGUGCAGGGUGAGAGAUCUUCUCCCUCCCAAGGCUGAGGAGUGCGGAAUAGAGGUCUGGAGUCUGGACCGCCGGCGGCGAGGUACCAUGGAGUUUCUCAUGCAACCAAUCGGCUGAUCCGCUCUGCUUGAGGAGGUGAGGGAGAGUUUGGUCCCCGCCCCUGUGCCUACGAAAGGCCAAGUUCUGGCAGGGCCGAUGGCGCCGCAGCAGCACGCGGCGGCAGACAGCGGGGAAGCGCCCAUCUUUGCGGCGGAGGAGGGAGGGAGGGGUCACCGCCGACAUCAGACCUGUCAACGAGGGAGAUGAAUCAUUGGUGCCCGGAUGGAACAAGAGGUUAGUGAACAAACAACUUCGCCCCAUCGAACAUGCAGCGAUUUCUGAAUAAAGUAGUUGGCUUGACUGAAGAAAUAGUACAGUCAGAGCCGAUAGGAUUCUUUUGCAGUCUGCUUGCUCAAUUCAGAGGGGUCAUGCUAGGAGUGCCUUACUGCAGCAACUAGCAGCAAGGCCAGCCACUGAGUAAACUGGAAAGCUGUACUGACUCUCAGCAAGAUCAUGCGAAGAUCUAGUAUGCUUGUGCUGCUAAGUAAGAAAUACAGUCUGCCAAAGUAUGGAUGUGGGCUAAUUUAAUAUGGAACCCGGUGGACAGUUCGUUCCCUAGAAAAUCCGUUGAAUAUGUGAAUCUAGAUGUACUGCUGAUUGUAGAGAUUGAAUCUUCGAAUAUGUGAAUCUAGAAGUACUGCUGAUUGUAAAGAUUGAAUGUUCGAAUCUAUGAACCUAGGAAUCUAUGAACCUAGGAAUCUAUGAACUGAAAGACUGAACCACAGAUCUAGAGCGUGCUGCAUAUUCCGUAGUAUUUCCAAUGUUCAUAAUACUCAUCCUCUCAAACUAUGUGUAAAUCCGAUUAAGUUUGCUUACUGUGUUAAAUGGCAGAAGCACAUUGGAGCCUCCUCACGGUGCAUAUUCAGUAGUAUUUUCCUUCUUGCUUAUUUUCAAUGUGCUUUUGCUAUUUAACACGAUAAUGCAUUUCAGUUCAGGACAGGAAGAAGAUUAUGAAAAGCUUGAAGGGGAAGAUUAUGAGGCUCGCUCUCAGUGAUUAUGUAUGUCUUUGCAUAGAAACUUUGGUUGGUUUUAUGCUCCCAAGCAAUUAAUCAUCAACUGAGAACAUGUCUUUUUUCCUCAAGUUCGUUGUAUGUCUUCUCUCCAUUGUUGAUAACACAAAACUUGUUACUGAGGUUAGCCAGCACCAAUCGUUUGCUUGAACCAGGUGUUAUGCUGCCAUUACAAGUAAUCUGAAGAGACGAUGCUUAUUAGCUUACUUUCAAUAUUUGUAGGUUAUAAUUGAAGAGCUGACAAAGUAGUUAAAGGAACUCAUAUUUGACAAGGUAAAAGGAAUUCGAAGCACUUUUAAUUGUUAGUUAUAUUCACAUGAGACUAUUUAUUAUGGAGCUCCUUGCUGGAACAGAACGGGACAUGCCCAUUGCUGCAGAUAUUUCACCCACAUGGCUCACGUUAUUCUACUCCGACUGAUUUGAUUUAUCUGAAUUACAACGUCCCUUCCCUUAUCUCAAAAGGAAAAUUACCUAUUCUAUUAACUCUUAAGCAAGGUUGGAAAAGGCGGUAGGCGUAAGAGGCGGUUGGCCUUCGCCUAGUGCCUAGGCAGUGCCUAAGCGCCCUAGGCACGGCCUAGGCGGUAAUAUAGUUUUUACUCCUAGUGUAUUUUUGAUUAUUAUAUGGUUGUUGAUAUUAGUUUAGGGCAUAUAAAUAAGUUAGUUACCAUCUACUGCCAUUGGAAUAUAACACGUUCGUCAUGUCAGUGCAGUAUGUGGCAUGAUUUCUUGCUUGGGUGGACAAUUCCUUGCUUUCCCUAUCUAGACCUCCAUUCAUGCCCUAGGCGAGGCGUUUGGCCAUUGCCUAGCGCCUAGGCGUGCCUAAGCGCCUCCUAGGCACUGCCUUUUCCAACAGAGCUCUUAAGUACUUUGAAGAGAAACAGGCCCCCAGAAAAUGUUUUUUUUUUGUUUCAGGAUGAGGCAUCAGUUAACAUGGAUAAUGUAACUAACAAAGAACAUGAGGGUUCAUAAGACACACAGGUUGCAUCUGAUAGCAAGAAGGACCCGAUUAAAUGGCAGCAAGAACUGUUGAGCAUUGUGAGGUUCUCAUUGAGACUUCAUUGAAAAUGUUUGAGAGUUAGUUCGAACAAACUUUGGCGAAGAUGUAUUAUAUGAAGUAAUCUCCUUAGUCCAUGGUCUACGCUCCUACCUGUACCUCUAUAGCCAGUAUCUCGGGAUAAUAUUCAUUCAUCUAUGACAUUUAUUCGUGAAAGGAACUACCUGUGAUAAAUAUGCUUAUACUUGCUUGACCUUCUGAUAAACUGUCUCUGUUUUCCUGAUUGUUAUUCGACAAUGUGGAAAUAUUCUUAUAAGUUGAUGGAUUCUUUUCUCUGGGAUGUUCCUUGGGCCGAUGCGUAGUUUUAAUGCGAUUCACUUUUCCUUAAUGAUGAAUCAACCUCCUGUGAAAGAAAACAACACUCCGGUCUACGCACAAACGUACCUACUGUUUUCUUAGUCUGACUUUUGAUACAAAUGAGUAAUCAACUGUUAAAGGGCGUUAUGAUUGAACACAUUUUUGCUUUGUAAGAGGUAGUGAUGAUAUGCUUACUGAGAUUAUGCAUCUCCAUUUUCCAAGGUUUCUGUUGGUUCACAAGGUAACGUUUUGGUGGGCUUCACUGACAGGAUCCAUCCCAUGUCUUUGCAAAUUUUGUUUUCACUUUUUCAUGAUUUAGAAUUUAAUUUAGUUCAGAAAGCAUGGCUGAAAUGCAGCCUAUUAACAGUAGAGGGUCGUGGUCUACGUCAAGGACUACUACGAUGGCGGUGAUGAGCAGCUGAUCAAGCAGGUGAUGAUGAA